rnacentral:rRNA from 1 species
UACGUAGGGUGCGAGCGUUGUCCGGAAUUAUUGGGCGUAAAGGGCUCGUAGGCGGUUUGUCGCGUCGGGAGUGAAAACCUCGGGCUUAACUCGGGGCUUGCUUUCGAUACGGGCAGACUAGAGGUAUGCAGGGGAGAACGGAAUUCCUGGUGUAGCGGUGAAAUGCGCAGAUAUCAGGAGGAACACCGGUGGCGAAGGCGGUUCUCUGGGCAUGAUCUGACGCUGAGGAGCGAAAGCUAGGGGAGCAAACGGG